rnacentral:lncRNA from 1 species
GUGAUUGUGUACUUUUUAUGAAGAUGAUUUUGUUCACUGGAAGACAACAAAAUUUCAGGUGUACAACACAACUUCCUCAUCUGGGGGAAGAAAAGCCUUGGAACUCAAUGACAGCCACAGAAAUGAAGCAGUAAGACACCAAGCAGGGGCCUGACCAUUUGUAAGUCUUGGCUUGAAAUGAAAUGUUGACUCCGGUUGGAACCCAAGACUGUUCUCAUCCUUGGAGAAUGACAGCUUCCCUGUACACAGAUUCCUCCUAUCUGAAGCUCAUUGCCUGGGUUGUCUUCACGUAUGGACCCAAAAAAGGCCCAUUUGGAUUGAGGAAAACAAAUACUAAUGAGCAUUAGUGGAAAUACUAGAUCAAAUACCUAAUACAUGCUUUCAUCUUAGGUUAAAAGAAAAGAUUUAAUGGUUAGGUUUGUCAAGAUACACAUAUUAUGCUUUUCUGACUUUCUUCACUCUGUUUUCACAGUUGAUAGUGUGCAUGUGCUUCCCGUGUUUUUUUUUUCUAUUCUCAGCAGCAUGGUGGAGUUAGAUGUGAGUAAAAACACCUAGUGUUCAGUCCCAGGUCAGUAACUGUGGGUGUCAGUCUUUUUGUCUUCAGGUCUCCGUCGAGGAAAAGAGGCUUUCCGGGGUGGGAGCAGCCACGCACAGGUGCUCCCAGAUCCACUCUUCCUCAGGAGCCACACGGGGCAUGCGCAGGGAGGGUUCUUGGUGGCCACUCCCACUUCAACCACAGCACUCUUAACUUGUGUCUGCUUAUUCUCUUCCGCUUAGCCGUAAACAUAAGGUUCACUAUAUAUACACACACACGAGAUUUUGCUGAGAAGAAAAAUUAACAAAACUUGAAACCCACUGUUAUCUGUUUUUGGUUCCCUUUUUGCUGCCUUCUUUGAAUUCACUGAGUAUUUUUUACGGCUUCAUUUUAUCUCUUUUAUUGGCUUGUUGGCCGUAUUCCUCUGUUAUGUUAUUUAAGUGGUUUCUUUAUGGGUAGUGUAGUACACAUAACUUAUCCUCACCUACCUUCAAGUGGUGUUAUCCCACUUCGCAUAGAGUAUGCAAACCUCCCCACAGUAUAUCUCCACUUCUCCCUUCCCAGCCUUCAGGCUUUGAUGCCAGACAUUUAAGGCCUCCAUAUAUUUGCACUCACAGUACACUGUGUGGUUGUUUUUGCCUUAAACAAUCAGUUAUCUUUUAAAGACACUUUUAAAAUGUGACAAAAAUUUCUUUAUACUUCAUAGUUUCCAUUUCUGGUGCUCUUCAUUUCUUUGUGUAGACAUUUAUUUCCAUAUACUAUCAUUUUCUUUCUUAUUGAACUACAUCUUUUAACAUUUGUGGUAGUGCAUGUCUGCUGAGAAUACAUUUUUGAACCUUUUUUUUGAGUUUGAAAAAGUCUAUUUGCCUUCAUUUUUUUGAAAGGUGUUUUCACUGCUGAAGUAUUCUAAGUUGACAAUUUUUUUUUCUUUCAGUAUUUUAAAGAUGACACCCCAGUAUCUUCUAGAUUGUGUUGUCUCUAACAAGAAAUCUGCUUUCCUAUAUAUUUUGUUUUUCGGCAUGCACUGUGUCUUUUGUCACUGGCUGUUUUUAAGAUUUUCUAAUUACCACUGGUUUUAAGUAAUUAGAUUAUAAUGUGCCCUACUGUAGUUUUAUUCGUGUGUCUUUUCAGUUUUUGGAUCUGUGGGUUGAUAGUUUUCAUCAAAUUUGGAAAAACUAUACCCAUGAUCACAAUAUUACUUCAGAUACUUUCUGCCCCUCCUCCUUCCCUUUGGGAAUUCCAAUUGCAGGUGUAGUAGACCUCUUGAAGGUGCCCCACAGCUCACUGAAGCUCUUUUUAUUUUUUUCAGAUUAAAAAAAAUUCUCACUCUGUGUCAUUGUGCACAGUUUUUUGUUUUGUUAUGUAUUCAAAUUCAUCAAUGUUUUCUUCUGCAAUGUGUAAGCUGCCAUCAGUUCUGUCUAGAACAUUUUUCAUCUUAGACGCUUCAAUUUCUAUCUCUAGAGCUUCAGCUGGAGUUUAUAUAUUCCAUGUCUCUAGUUAACAUGUUUAAUCUUUCCUAUAGCUUCUUGAACACAUAGAAUACAGUCAUAAUAACUGUUUUGAUAUCCUUAUUCACUAACUAUAUCAUCUGUAUAUAUCACUAUGUGAAUUGUGGGUCAAUUUUGAUCAAUUGUUUAGUCAUCAUGGGUCUCUUUUUCCUGCUUCACUUUUUGCCUUGUAAAUUUUGGUUGAAUGCUAGACAUGUGAUUUUUAUCUUGUUGGGUAUUUUUAUAUUCCUAUAAACAUCCUCAAAAAAAUUUUUUAAUGUUUAUUUAUUUUUGAGAGAGAGAGACAGACAGAGCAUGAGUGGGGGAGGAGCAGAGAGAGAGGGAGACACAGAAUCUGAAACAGGUUCCAGGCUCUGAGCUCUCAGCACAGAGCCCGAUGCGGGCUCAAACCCAUGGACUGUGAGAUCAUGACCUGAGCUGAAGUCAGACACUUAACCAACUGAGCCCCCCAGGUGACCUUAUUCCUAUAAAUAUUCUCGAGCUCUGUUCUGGGUUGUGCCUAAAUCUCUUGGAAACAGUAGCUCCUUUUGUUUCUGGCUUUAAACCUUUGUUAAGCAGGACCAAAGCAAUGUUUAGCCUAGGACUAGUUUCUCCCCUUUACUGGUACAAAACUCUUUUGAGUAAUCUAACUGAAGCCCUCAUGAAUGCUGAGGUUUUCUAGUUUGGCUAACAGAAACAGGCAAUUUUUUCAUUCCACAUGAGAUUAGGGUAUUGUUCCCUUUAAUAUUUUCAGUUUCAUUUUUUUUCCACCUGGCCUCAGGUAGUUCCUACACCUGCAUGCAGUGAUUAGCACUCAGCUAAACAUGAAGGGUCACUCUAUAGGCAUCCAGUUCUUUUCCCUCUGGUAAUCUGCCCCGUGAAUCAUAGAUGCUUUGGCUUUCUUGGACUCACAGUUCUGUCUGCAACUCAGGGAGACCGUCAGGCUCUGCUUGAUUUUCCCUUUCCUGUGCCAAAGCUGGAAACUUUUUCUAGGCACAAAGCUAGGGCAAUCACGGGGCUAACGUUAUUUGUUUCCCAUCUCUCAAGAAUCACUGUCCUUUGUUGCCUGGUGACCAAGGUUUUGUGAACCAUUGUUUCAUGUGUCUGUUCAGUUGUGUAGUUGUUUCAGGAGGGAGGAUAAACUCAGUUAUCGUUAUUUCAUGGUGACCAGAAAGAGAAGUCUGUUUAGAGUCCUUUAAAAUAUUAUUCUUGGGGUGUGGGGGGUGUGUGGGGGGAGAGGAUAACCUGAAUAGGACAAAGCCAUUGGUAAUUUGAGGAAUGUGUCAUGGGACUUGGUGUCUAAUUAAAUAAGCAUGGGCAACCAGAGAAAAUUUCUAUCCCCCAUGACCUUAUGACUGUGUGGAUGGCAAUGCGGUUUUCUGAGUUAAUAGGAGUUCAGGGGAAGAAGUGGUUGGGUGUAGGGUUGGGAAAAUGAGUGCUUGGUUUGUUCAUGAUAUUUAGGUAAUUCAGAUGGAGAUGAUCAGGUAGCAGGUAGAAAUAUGGAUCUGGAGCUCAGGAAAGAAGGAGCAUGGAUACAACUGUAGAUCCUGAAAAAAUCCUUCUAGGAAGGUUAGUGCCCAAUUGAAAAGGACUAUUUAUCUCAAGUUUUGUGACUAAAGAUUAAAUGUGAACAACUUGGGGGGCGCCUGGGUGGCGCAGUCGGUUAAGCGUCCGACUUCAGCCAGGUCACGAUCUCGCGGUCCGUGAGUUCGAGCCCCGCGUCGGGCUCUGGGCUGAUGGCUCAGAGCCUGGAGCCUGUUUCCGAUUCUGUGUCUCCCUCUCUCUCUGCCCCUCCCCUGUUCAUGCUCUGUCUCUCUCUGUCCCAAAAAAUAAAUAAACGUUGAAAAAAAAAUUAAAAAAAAAA